AGGGCUACUAAAAUAAAAUUUAAAUAUAAUUCUCCCGAAAAUAAGUGAGCUACUCUUCCCCUGAUAAGACCAUUAUUUAUAAAUGUGGCAAAAUUUACAGAAAGAGGGAAAAGUAGAGAUUAAAUGUCAACCGCACUUAUAGAUAGCUGGCUGCUUCUUUAAAUGUAUCAAGUACAACCUAUUUAUAUAGAAAAACUUGUUUCGGGACUAGCUGAAACAAGACAAACUUCGGUGUACCUAAUAAUUAUUUUAUAAUUUAGGCUUAAAAACUGCCUUACCUUUAAACCCAUCACAGGGUAUUAGUAAAAAAAUUAUAAUUAUAUACUCACCUAAUAAAGUAAAGAGCAACUAGGAAAAACUUAUUCCUAGAAUAAACUGGUAGCAUAAGUAGAAACAUAUUUUUAACAUACAUCAAUUAAAUAAUCAAUAAAGGAACUCGGCAAAUUAGGGCCACGACUGUUUAACAAAAACAUAGCUUCUAGAUUAACUAUUAGAAGUUACGUCUGCCCAGUGACAUUAAGUUUAACGGCCGCGUUAAGUGCUAAGGUAGCAUAAUAAUUUGUCUUUUCAUUGAAGACUAGUAUGAAAGGCAUAACGAAGCCCAGCUGUCUCUAUUGAUUUAAUCGAAAUUGAUUUUAAAGUGAAAAAUCUUUAAUUUAAUUAGAGGACGAGAAGACCCUGUAGAGUUUACAGUGCAAGUAAAAGAAAAAUCUAAUUUUUACUUUUACUACACUUUGAUUGGGGCAAUAGAGGAACAAAAGAAAAUCCUCCUAUUAUAAAUUAAUAUAUUAAAAAUGAUCCUCAAAGAGAAUAAAGAAAAACUACCUCAGGGAUAACAGCGUAAUCUUUCCAGAGAGACCUAAUCGAAGGAAGGUU
rnacentral:rRNA from 1 species